AGGCAGUUAUCAUACAGCAAUUAAAAUAUAUUGGAGAAAGAAUAAUUACUAAUUGCAUUUACUGUUGCGAAAGAGGGAAUACUAGAGAUAAUUAUUAAUUUACUACAUAUUAUUGCAGCACAAAAUGUGUCGAAAAGACGACAGUGACAAGAAAAGCCAUGCCGGUUCCUGCAGUAGACAUGAAGGAAUAUGGUGACCAACAAGUGAACAUACUUGCUGAUGAUCUCGAGGAGCUGAGGACUGUGGAACGAUCAGAAUUCCGAAAUGUGUUGGAAAAGAUAAUUGAUGAAGAUGUACCCAGGCUGUACCGGUACCCAACAAAUGAUACAGAAGAAGUACC